GAUGAACGCUGGCGGCGUGCUUAACACAUGCAAGUCGAACGAUGAAGCCCAGCUUGCUGGGUGGAUUAGUGGCGAACGGGUGAGUAACACGUGAGUAACCUGCCCUUAACUCUGGGAUAAGCCUGGGAAACUGGGUCUAAUACCGGAUAGGAGCGCCUACCGCAUGGUGGGUGUUGGAAAGAUUUAUCGGUUUUGGAUGGACUCGCGGCCUAUCAGCUUGUUGGUGAGGUAAUGGCUCACCAAGGCGACGACGGGUAGCCGGCCUGAGAGGGUGACCGGCCACAAUGGGACUGAGACAGGGACCAGACUCCUACGGGAGGCAGCGGUGGGGAAUAUUGCACAAUGGGCGAAAGCCUGAUGCAGCGACGCCGCGUGAGGGAUGACGGCCUUCGGGUUGUAAACCUCUUUCAGUAGGGAAGAAGCGAAAGUGACGGUACCUGCAGAAGAAGCACCGGCUAACUACGUG
rnacentral:rRNA from 1 species